rnacentral:rRNA from 1 species
GUCUUGUAAUUGGAAUGAUGGGAAUUUAAACCUCUUCCAGAGUAUCAAUUGGAGGGCAAGUCUGGUGCCAGCAGCCGCGGUAAUUCCAGCUCCAAUAGCGUAUAUUAAAAUUGUUGCAGUUAAAAAGCUCGUAGUUGAAUUUCUGCUGCAUUACAUAUCUCUUGUUUGAGUUUGUUUUUGUGGCUUAUUUCGGUUUGAUUUUUUCUUUCCGGAUGAUUACUUUGAGAAAAUUAGAGUGCUCAAAGCAGGCUUUUGCCUUGAAUAGUUUAGCAUGGAAUAAUAAAGUAGGACUUUGGUUCUAUUUUGUUGGUUUUAGGUACCAAAGUAAUGGUUAAUAGGAACAGUUGGGGGCAUUCGUAUUUAACUGUCAGAGGUGAAAUUCUUAGAUUUGUUAAAGACGAACUACUGCGAAAGCAUUUGCCAAGGAUGUUUUCAUUAAUCAAGAACGAAAGUUAGGGGAUCGAAGACGAUCAGAUACCGUCGUAGUCCUAACCAUAAACUAUGCCGACUAGAGAUUGGAGGUCGUCAGUUUUUACGACUCCUUCAGCACCUUGAGAGAAAUCAAAGUCUUUGG